AACAUUCUCCUCUCUGGGUCUGGAAGCCUAGAGUCUAUAUCCAUAUGAGGCACUGGGCAGGUAUUCCAGACUUCUGAGUCAUGGAUGAAAAAUGCCAUCUUGCAACUGACACAGCAAUUCCUUUGCCAAGAAAUCAUCAUAUCCUUAGUUUCUUAUGUUGAGGGGAAAAGUGAUGAAUUAAUUACAAAUUUCUGCAAAUGGAAGUUCAUUCAUUUAUUUGGCCACCAAGUAUUUUUUGAGUUUGGAGAUCAAA
rnacentral:lncRNA from 1 species